rnacentral:rRNA from 1 species
AUUGAACGCUGGCGGCAGGCCUAACACAUGCAAGUCGAGCGGAUGAAGGGUGCUUGCUCCUGGAUUCAGCGGCGGACGGGUGAGUAAUGCCUAGGAAUCUGCCUGGUAGUGGGGGAUAACGUCCGGAAACGGGCGCUAAUACUGCAUACGUCCUGAGGGAGAAAGUGGGGGAUGUUCGGACCUCACGCUAUCAGAUGAGCCUAGGCCGGAUUAGCUAGUUGGUGGGGUAAAGGCCUACCAAGGCGACGAUCCGUAACUGGUCUGAGAGGAUGAUCAGUCACACUGGAGCUGAGACACGGUCCAGGCUCCUACGAGAGGCAGCAGUGGGGAAUAUUGGACAGUGGGCGAAAGCCUGAUCCAGCCGUGCCACGUGUGUGAAGAAGGUCUUCGGAGUGUAAAGCACUUUAAGUUGGGAGGAAGGGCAGUAAGUUAAUACCUAGCUGUAUUGACGGUACCAACAGAAUAAGCACCGGCUAACUACGUG